rnacentral:ncRNA from 1 species
AUAAAGUCUUAUUCCGAGGAGUGGAAUGAUGAAGUAACGUUCUGAAACGCUCCCUUUAAUACUCCGACAUGCGAUUUCCUACGUGUAUAUGGAAAUGGUGUGAAGCUCGGUGAAGUCGGGUGAAGUAUACCGUAGUGUUCAGUGAACAACCGAAAAGGCAAUAGAGGUAUUGUCCGUAUAUGAUAGCUCGGAAGUCGUUAAA